GCCUCUGUGGCCAAGUGGUAAGGCGUCGGUCUCGUAAACCGAAGAUCCAGGGUUCGACCCCCUGCGGAGGCA
rnacentral:tRNA from 1 species